rnacentral:rRNA from 1 species
UUAAGUCCGUCAACGUGCGCAACCCUCAUCUUUUGUUGCCUUCAGGUUCAACUGGGCCCUCUAGAGAAACUGCCCGUGAUAAGCGGGAGGAAGGUGUGGAUGACGUCAAGUCCUCAUGGCCCUUACGGGUUGGGCUACACACGUGCUACAAUGGCAGUGACAAUGGGUUAAUCCCAAAAAGCUGUCUCAGUUCGGAUUGGGGUCUGCAACUCGACCCCAUGAAGUCGGAAUCGCUAGUAAUCGCGUAACAGCAUGACGCGGUGAAUACGUUCCCGGGCCUUGUACACACCGCCCGUCACACCAUGGGAGUUGGUUCUACCCGACGACGCUGCGCUAACCCUUCGGGGAGGCAGGCGGCCACGGUAGGAUCAGCGACUGGGGUUCCUCGUAACGGGAUAGCCGUAAUCGAAR